AAUGAUAUGAGGAACAAUUCGCUCCAAUUGGCUUCUUUGGAACAGAGAAGGGCUGAUGAAAAUGUUUUACGCCUCGUUGAAGAACAGAAGAGAGAGAAAGAAGAGGCUUUAAGCAAGAUUCUUCAGCUGGAAAAGCAGCUGGAUGCCAAGCAGAAGCUGGAAAUGGAAAUUCAAGAAUUGAAAGGAAAACUACAGGUUAUGAA
rnacentral:misc_RNA from 1 species